rnacentral:lncRNA from 1 species
CUAAAGGCUCUUAUAUUUCUUUACAAAGGGAGUACAUAUUACAUGUUACAAAUUAAGCUCCCAAACCAAAAUUGUUAAAUAUUACAUGGUUACAAAUUAAGCUCUCAACAGACCUUAUGAUAUUUAUUAGGGGAGUGCUUGGGAUUCAUUUGUGUAGUUCUUUCCUAAUACAAUUUUGCUACUCACUAAAUCAGUUAAUUGUUUUAAUUGGAAACCAAUAAAUGAUCAGUACUUACUUAUAUAUCUUCUUUGUCAAAUGUGCAAUAUUGAAAUAUAUAUUACGAACAAAAGGAGGCACCAAAACGCCGCUCUCCAUUAGAUCUAACAUUUCUGCGCUUUAGCCACUUCUAUCCCUCCAUGUAUGAGUAUCAAUUGAACAUCUGAAUGCUCACUUCUGAUAGAUAGUUUAACAGCUUGGAUGUGCUUUAACCACUAAUGUCCUUCCAUAAGAUGCUUUGACAUGUGCUGUCGAAAGGAUUUUUGUAAUGAAAACUGCAGAAACCCAUACAUAGUUCGCAUAUAAACAGAAAAUAAAAAUUAACCUCUCUUGUUAGCACUACAUAGUUCACUCAUAUUGUGCAUGCAAAGGCUACAUAUUCAGUUUGAGUGUAGUUAAAACAUCUUCCGAGGGCUUUAUUGUGCUUUCCUAGAUUGAUUCAUUUCUAGGAGAUUAUGUUAUGUUUUAUUAUUGUUCACAAAAAUUACUCCAUGCAAUUUUUUUCUUCAGCUCCCUUAUAUUGUUCUGAACCACUGAUCCAUACUCAAACCGAAUAGAGAGCUAACCAAUUUAGUGAGGCAAACAGAUUCAUGUUUCUUGCGGGCAAAGCAGUAUGUUCUAUUAAAUGAACGGCGGGUGAAAUUCAAGGUUUGUUAGAUUUCGGCAAUGAAAAACAACAUAUGGAAUUGGUCGACUUACCUGGACGCUUGGAGAAAGGAAAUGACGCAGAGAUGAUUUCCAGAGAGCCAUGGGGUAGUGAUGUGGCAGACGUCAUUUGUACCUCAUUGUGUGACUAGUGUAAUGAUGAUAAUUUUUUGGAGAGCCAUAAGCGUAGCAAAGAGACAUAGGUCAACGCAGACCUGGCUGUGAAAGAGAUUGUGAAUAGUGACAUAUGUAAAGAGGCCAAACUAACCAAGUCUGUGUGCAUGUGACUUGGCUGCAUUCUAUUGCAAUCACAUAUUCAAAGAAUUAAUCUUCUCAUUCCAUCUUCCAAUACGAGUUAAUUGUAUUAAAAAAUAUAUACCUUACCAGGGCAUGGUACCUAAUAUUUGGCUCACGUACUGAAUAAACUUUUGCCCAGAAGUGCCACAUAUUAGUACAUCAUCUCUUUUUCAGCAUUUGGGUGCAUAACCUGUAAUUAGAAAAUGAAUGUAUGACAGACUGUUUUCAAGAUAUUAUCAGUCUUCUCUUUACGUCUAUCAGGCCAGCAUGAUGGCAAAUCUGAGCAAGCUAUUCCAAUGUGUUGAAGACCUGCAACAGAGCACAGAUGGAUCGAUCUUCUGACCAUGAGCUAUGGAAUUCAUGACAUCAACUGUAGAUAUGGCAGUCUGAAUAAUUUCUGAAGGGUAUGUCUUUACACUGAAAUUGAUAGAAGUUCAUGUACGAGAUUAACAUAACAAUACCAAAAUCUAGCUAGGCUGGAAUCUUCUCCAUAUUUGAACCGAACUAAGACUUGCGGGAAAUGUCCAGGUGUUCCUCAGGUUUCCCAAAAAAAUAAAAUAUGCACCCAAGUAUAUCAAGUGAUACUGCAGUUUUUAGAACCUCAAAGAUGCAAAAAAAAUCUGAACAAUUUUCUUCAUAACAGAUAAGCAUUAGCACAAAGACCACUCCAUCCUAGUUGAUUAAACAGGCAAAUAUCCAUUAAAACUGAUUUAUGAGAAGUGCAAAAGGGCAUAUUUAUUGCUAUUCGUGAGCACAAGUUUUUCAGGGAGAAAUCGAUGCUACCUCACUUGUGAAUUGCACAGUUCUAUAUUUCUUGUCAAUACCAGAGUUCCCUCAAAAACUUGCGAGUGAUUUUCUCAAGUUUCAUGGACAAUGAAAAAAGUUUAUUAGAAAAGGAAUAAUUGUGCAUUAACAUCUAAUUGGAGUUUGAAUGCAUAUCAAUGUCAGAGGUGAACUGAAGAUGACAAGAAAGAAAAAAAUAACUAACAUUUAAAUGAUGCUUAAAUUGAGAUGAUGUGGAAAACCAUUUCUUGCUUCGAUUCCAACAACAACUGAGUUGUGCAAACUUUUGAGAGAUGUGCUAACAGGUAGACAGGUCGAGCUAUUUAAGUCCAACCUGAAUAACAUGACAACAUGGUUGGCAGGGAAAACAGGAGCGAGAUGUUGUGGAAAACCAUCUCUUGCAUCAAUUCCAUCAGCAACUGAUUUGUGCAAACUUCUGAUUUCAUGGUCAUGUCAAAAGAGUUUACCACAGCGUAAUGCAUAAUAAGAUGUCAAAAUAUAUCAUCAUUAGACAAGUGAACAACACCAAUAUAUACUAGGGCAUUCUAGCAUACUGAUCCUGCAAGGUGGUGAUCUCCGAAUGUUGGUGCACUUAUGUCGGGAGUCGUAUCAUGUGACCUAAUGCACACGGAUGUUGGGCCUAUGACAAGUGGGCCUCGAUCUGAAAGUGCAACUAUCCCUGGGUGGUUUUGGUAAUUCCUAACAACAUAUAGCUCAUUGAGCUAAUGCUACUUGAAGAUAAAUAUUUCAGGAAAAGCUCAAUGAUUGGUAUGGCAUGGAUUAGAAAGUGGACCCCUCAAAAUGCUAAGGACAAAAGAUUGGCUCAAGCUAUAAGCACAAGACUCUACAUUUUACUUUUAGUGAUCCAAGAUCACAUUGAAUCCAUAGGAAAAGCCAAUACUGUUAAAAGGGGGUGAGGUGUUGCUUAAUGAGUUGCUUGCUCAAAAUGCUUAGUGAUAUGCUCCAAAAACCCUCAACUACUUUCCCAUAUUCACAUAUGUCCCAAACCAAAAGUCAAACUCGGCCGCACCGAAAUCUUCUAUCCGGCGCCACUGAGUUCACUUGACAUAGCUACUGCCAGAAACCCUAGUCACUUCGGUCUCACCGAUAGGGAUCUCGGUCUCACUGAGAUGGGAUUGCAAACUCUCUGUUUCCCUUCAUAACAUUUCGGUCCAACCGAGAUGAGCGAUUGGUCUCACCGAGAUUGCAAUGCAAACUCUCUGUUUCCCCUUUGUAACGUUUUGGUCUAACCGAGAUGAGAUAAUCGGUCACACCGAGUUUGCCUGGCCAACUCUCUGUUUGCCUAUUACCAAAAUCGGUCCCGCCGAGUUUGUGUAAUCGGUCUCACCGAGAUUACCUUAUGCCCUAACCCUAAUGGAAUCGGUCCCACCGAGUUGACAUAUCGGUCCCACCGAAAAUCCUAACUUUCACAUUUUGAACUAAAUCGGUCUGACCGAGAUAUAUGAUUCGGUCCCAUCGAGUUUGGUGAUUUGUGUGUAACGGUUAGAUUUUGUGUGGAGGCUAUAUAUACCCCUCCACCCAAUCUUCAUUCGUGGAGAGAGCCAUCAGAAUAUGCCUACACUUCCAACAUACAUUUUCUGAGAGAGAACCACCUACACUUGUGUUGAGGUCAAGAUAUUCCAAUCCAACCACAUAAAUCUUGAUCUCUAGCCUUCCUCAAGUUGCUUUCCACUCAAAUCAUCUUUCUACCAAAUCAAAUCCUAUGAGAGAGAGUUGAGUGUUGAGGAGACUAUCAUUUGAAGCACAAGAGCAAGGAGUUCAUCAACAACACAUCAUCUAUUACCUUUUGGAGAGUGGUGUCUCCUAGAUUGUCUAGGUGUCACUUGGGAGCCUCCGUCAAGAUUGUGGAGUUGAACCAAGGAGUUUGUAUGGGCAAGGAGAUCGCCUACUUCGUGAAUAUCUACCCUAGUGAGGCAAGUCCUUCGUGGGCGAUGGCCAUGGUGGGAUAGACAAGGUUGCUUCUUCGUGGACCCUUCGUGGGUGGAGCCCUCCGUGGACUCGCGCAACCGUUACCCUUCGUGGGUUGAAGUCUCCAUCAACGUGGAUGUACGAUAGCACCACCUAUCGGAACCACGCCAAAAAUCUCCGUGUCUACAUUGCAUUUGCUCCCUCCAAACUCCUCCCUUUACCUUCAUAUGAAAUUGUUUUACAUUCCGCUACUAUACUCUUAAAGUUGCAUGUGUAGGUUGAUUACUUGUUUGUGCUAAGUUGCUAAAAUCUGUCAAGACUUAAAAUUGGGAAAAGGCUAGAUUUUUAUUUGGUCAAGUAGUCUAAUCGCCCCCCCUAUAGACAUACUUUCGAUCCUACAAGUGGUAUUAGAGCCUUGGUCUCCAUUUCCCUUGAUUUCCAUAGCUUUGGUGAUCAUAGCCUUGGUUUCACAACCUAGAAGAGUAUGGCGUCUAGUGAGGGAAAUUAACACCGUAGAGGUCCUUACUUUGAUCGUACUAAUUUUGUUAGUUGGAAGCAUAAGAUGAAAAUGCAUAUUCUUGGACAUAACCCCGCUGUUCGGGCUAUUGUGUGUAUUGGCUUGCAAGGUGAAUUCUUUGAUGGGAGAGAACCGAACCGUGAUGCUAGCGCGGAAGAGUUGAAGAUGCUACAAUACAAUGCUCAAGCUUGUGAUAUUCUCUUCAACGGAUUGUGCCCCGAAGAAUUCAACAAAAUCAGCCGUCUUGAGAAUGCAAAGGAAAUUUGGGAUACUUUGAUUGAUAUGCAUGAAGGUACCGAUUCCAUCAAGGAAUCCAAAUUGGAUGUGCUUCAAAGUCAACUUGACAAGUUCAAAAUGAAGGAUAGUGAAGGUGUCGCUGAAAUGUACUCUAGGCUUGCUCUCAUCACAAAUGAGAUUGCCGGCUUAGGAAGUGAAGAGAUGACCGAUAGAUUCAUCAUCAAGAAGAUCCGAAGAGUCUUGGAUGGAAAAUAUGAUAUCGUGUGCACAUUGAUCCCAAUGAUGCCCAAUUACAAAGAUCUCAAGCCAACGGAAGUCAUUGGAAGGAUUGUUGCUCAUGAGAUGUCACUCAAGGAUAAGGAAGAGUUUCACAACAAGUCAAGUGGUGCUUACAAAGCCUCAUGUGAUGCUCCCACAUCAUCAAGUGAGAAACAAAACUUCAAUGAAGAAUUGAGCCUAAUGGUGAAGAAUUUCAACAAGUUUUACAAGAAUAGAAGCAAGGAAAGAAGUUCCAAGUCAAGGUCCUACAAUGACAAAAUAUCUUCAGGUCGUGAAUGCAAUUGCUAUAAUUGUGGAAGACCUGGACACUACUCCAAUGAGUGUACGGCUCCCUACAAAAGAAGAAAAGAUUCUCCCAAAAUAAGGAGUAGGAGUGAAGAAUCACCACCAAGAGAGAGAAGGAGUAGAGAUGACCGUUAUGAACGAAUAACAUCAUGGAGAAGUAAUGAUUCGGAAAGGAAGGACAAAUCAUCAAGGAGCUACACAAAACGAAGACAUCAAGCUCACGUUGGUGAAUGGGUAUCCGACUCCGACUCCGACGAUCACUCUGAUAGAAGUUAUCACUCCGACUCCGAAUAUACUCAAGAUGAAGGUGUUGCCGGUCUAGCACUUGUGUCAACCAACUCCUACGACAUAUUUGAGUCACCAAAUGAAGGAAUUGGAAGAUGCUUCAUGGCUAAAGGCCCAGGGGUAUCACACCCCAAGUAUGUUGAGUUCAAUAGUGAUGAAGAUGACUUUCUAGGUGAUGAUGAUUUACUUGUUGACAAUUCUAGUGAUGAAAACUAUGAUGAACUUGCUAUUAAUCAUGCUAGUCAAGACAAAACGAAUGACGAUGAUAAGAAGGAGAUUAAGCGUCUAACUAAAGAGCUAAACACUCUUAAGUUAGCUCAUGAAACUACCUUGGAAAAUCAUCGAGAACUUUUAAAGACUCGUGAGAAGUUACGCUUCGAAAAGCUCAACCUUGAGCAAGAGCAUGGAUUCUUAAAAGCGAUCAAUGAUGAUCUUCAUAAGAAAAGUUCUUCUUACAUUGCCAAGCGUUUACUCUUGUCUACUUACAUGCCACAAGUUAAAUCUAGCAACAAGAGUAAGAAAGAUUAUUCUUCUAGUAGUAACAAUAAUCAUGCUAAACCCUAUGAUGUUGCUUCUAGUAGUUCUAUUGAUUCCACUAAUGAUUCUCCUAGCCAAGUUACACUUGAGCAAGAAAAUAGCUUAUUGAAGGGAAUUAUAGAGAAAGUUGUUUACAAGAGCCUUGCCGGAAGUAAGCAAUUUGAGGAAAUUGUACGCGAGCAAGGAAGACACCGGAAGAAUCAAGGUGUCGGUUUAGAAUGAAAGUUCAAUGCCAAUGGAGUUGAAUGGGAAGAAGAUCAAUACCCCAAGACGAAGUUUGUUCCUCAACAAGAGAAGUAUGAUCCUACUUCUUUCCAAGGAACACAAGCUCCAGAUGAUCUUCCACCACAAGACCACAAGCAAAAAGGCAAGGACAAGCUUCAAGAGGAGAUUGAUGCAUUUGAGGAAGCUCCCAAACCCUUGGUCAAGUGGGUUCCCAAGACUACAUCAAGUUCUACUUCAUCAAGUACGACUACAACUCCAAGGAUUCCCAUCAACAUGGUGUGGAUUCCGAAGAAGAAGAACUAGAGAGUUCUUGAGGGUGACUCCGCCAACAUACUUCACUCAUAUCAUUUUUGCGAGGACAAGUGCAAAAAACUUCCAUAUCUUGCACUAGUUCAAGGAGUCACAAACCCUCUUGUUGGUAAGACAAGGGACAAGGUAACAUAAUGCUUUCAUGGACAUCAUCCUAUGUGAACAUCACUCUAUGUCUAUGGAUAUCCUUGUUUGUUCCUUGUGGGACUAACCCGUGUAGGUAUUGAAAGUGCAACUCACUCCAAAGGAUUGCUCCAAAAGAUCUACAUCAACAUUGAGCAUCUAUAUUUUUAACACCUACGUGAAGUCGUCAUCGACAAAACCCAAGGUUAGUUCAUCCCUCUUAGGGGGGAUAUCACAUCUAGGGGGAGCUUUACUCUAAUCAAUUGGGCUAAAGCAACUCAAAUGGUGUGAACACAACAAUGCUUUAUGUAAAAGUGGCAACCCCACUUGUGCUUAAACGAUGAGUAUGACCUACGAUCAAAUGUUCUCAUUUGACUCCUAAGUCAAUAUACUCAUAUAUAGAUGACCUAGUCAGCGCCAAAUUGCUUGAUAGAUGCUAGAGUGAUUGUGCAUGCUUUGUCACAUAACCAAAAAGAGGAUAAUAGUCUCUCGAAGCUGGGUAUGCUAUAUACAGCUUAGUUCCAUGUAUAUAAUAUAUGUAUAGCCAUUUCUAUCUUAUUGCUACUUUCAAAUGAAAAUGUUUUUUAUGUUAGAGACUCUUGCUUCAACUUAUACUCGUCACUGGACUACUAUGAGUAUACUCGAAGACCCAUCUAUAAAUUAAUAGCCUUGAUCAAGGAGCAACGAUUAACCUUCACUUAAUUGAGUAAUGGCAUUAACCUGAAGGAAACCACAAUAGUUAUAUAACUUCAGGAAAUGGUGAAACAUCAAUGCACAGAUUAACUCGGCCAAAGCCGCUGGAUGGAAGCUAUGAUUUUUCUGAGUGAUGCAGUACACACUUCAUGACAUGUAAAAUAAUUGUCAAAUCUAAGAUUCAAACUUGAAUUUCUUUGUAAGAAGAAAAUAACGUAAGUACCCAUCUCUGAUGAAUUAUCAUAAUAAUAAUUUCCACACUGCAAGAAAAUCACAUACCUUCAAAGAAAAAAACACAUGAUUAUUCUUGUAUCAGAAAACCAAAAUGUUUAUAUAAAUGUUCACCUUUGGUUGCUGAUGUCAUCUUGGAUUGACUCCCAUCUUUUCCUAUGUCUAGCAAGCUGCAACAGUCACUGCGGAAAAUGUCUACAGUAUAUCCAAUAAAAUCAUUUGUAGCCAAAAUACAAAUAACUUAUUAAAUAGAGUACACAACUUACAUGGAAUUAAAAUGCAAGAAGGUGCAUAAAUAAAGUAUCCAAUAUGCGCAGGAUUUCAUGCAAUGUUUUAGAGGUAAAUUUUAACUGAAAUGAGAAUAAAUAGACCUUUUGGCGGAUCAAAACCUAUAUUAUCUUCCUUUCACUCCUACUUGGAUUGGUAUUUAGUUCAACGCCUACAAAGCUACAGGCUACUGUACUUCCGCACAUAUUCACAAGCACCUGAAAAUUAAGAAAACAUGCAUGUGAUGUUCGCGUAUACAUGUAGUAGCUUCUGAAGAGCACUCUUUUUGUAAGAAAGCUUCUGAUUAACCUAUUGUUUUCUAAAUUUCUAAUUAUAGGAAGACAUGAUAUUUACUUGAGAGCAUAAUCAAGAGACUAUAGUACUGCCCAGUAAGCAAUUUUUGGUUCAGUGUAGCCUCAACAAUUGAUCGAUCGCUGGAC